GCGAAUGGCUCAUUAAAUCAGCUAUUGUUCAUUGGAUCGUACUUGCUACAUGGAUAACUGUAGUAAUUCUAGAGCUAAUACAUGCCACUAUGCCCUGACCCUUCGGGGAACGGGUGGAUUUAUUAGAACAGAACCAACCGGCCUCGUGUCGUGUUUUCUGUGAUGACUCUGGAUAACUUUACUGAUCGCAGUCUUUUUGACGGCGACGGAUCCUUCAAAUGGCUGCCCUAUCAACUUUCGAUGGUAGGUGACCUGCCUACCAUGGUGAUAACGGGUAACGGGGAAUCAGGGUUCGAUUCCGGAGAGGGAGCCUGAGAAACGGCUACCACAUCCAAGGAAGGCAGCAGGCGCGCAAAUUAUCCAAUCCCGGAACGGGGAGAUAGUGACGAAAAAUACAGAAACGGGACUCGUUACGGGCCUCCGAUAUCUGAAUGAGUACAAUUUAAAUCCUUUAACGAGGAACAACUGGAGGGCAAGUCUGGUGCCAGCAGCCGCGGUAACUCCAGCUCCAGAAGCGUAUAUUAAAGUUGUUGCAGUUAAAAAGCUCGUAGUUGGAUCUGGGUCGCAUGGCUACGCCUUGUGGUAUGUUUCAAUCGUCUUAUUGAUGUUGGACUAUCCAGGGGUGGUGGUCGUGUAACCUUUCUGCCGUGUCUGUUUCGACAGGUGCUGGUUUCGGCUGGCAUGCUUUCGGGUGCCUUUAACCGGGUGUCCGGAGCAGACGGCAUGUUUACUUUGAACAAAUUUGAGUGCUCAAAGCAGGCCGUAGCGCCUGAAAAGUCUUGCAUGGAAUAAUGAAAUAGGACUUCGGUUCUAUUUUGUUGGUUUUCGGAUCCGAAGUAAUGGUUAAGAGGGACAAACGGGGGCAUUUGUAUGGCGGCGUUAGAGGUGAAAUUCAUGGAUCGUCGCCAGACAAACUACAGCGAAAGCAUUUGCCAAGGAUGUUUUCAUUGAUCUGGAGCGAAAGUCAGAGGUUCGAAGACGAUCAGAUACCGUCCUAGUUCUGACCAUAAACGAUGCCAACUGACGAUCCGCGGCGUGCUCAUUUCGGCCCCGCGGGCAGUCCCCGGGAAACCUUUAAGUCUUUGGGCUCCGGGGGAAGUAUGGUUGCAAAGCUGAAACUUAAAGGAAUUGACGGAAGGGCACCACCAGGAGUGGAGCCUGCGGCUUAAUUCGACUCAACACGGGAAAACUCACCCGGCCCGGACACCGUGAGGAUUGACAGAUUGAGAGCUCUUUCUUGAUUCGGUGGUUGGUGGUGCAUGGCCGUUCUUAGUUCGUGGAGCGAUUUGUCUGGUUAAUUCCGAUAACGAACGAGACUUUAGCCUGCUAACUAGUAUGCCUGUCUUCUGUACUUGUUCAGAGGUGAGAAGGCUGCGAUCCUUCGGGGGUUGGAGCGUCGAAUCCUUUGGCUAGUACGGUGCGGGUAGUUACUUCUUAGAGGGACAAGCGGUUGUAAACCGCACGAAAUUGAGCAAUAACAGGUCUGUGAUGCCCUCAGAUGUCCGGGGCCGCACGUGCGCUACAAUGACGGUUUCAGCGAGUAUGGUAAGGUUGCCCGAGAGGGUUGCCUAAACUGUGUCAUAACCGUCGUGACUGGGAUCGGGGCUUGCAAUUGUCCCCCGUGAACGAGGAAUUCCUGGUAAGUGCAAGUCAUAAGCUUGCGCUGAUUACGUCCCUGCCCUUUGUACACACCGCCCGUCGCUACUACCGAUUGAAUGGUUUAGCAAGGUCCUCGGAUUGGUGCAAUCGGUGGUGUAUGCUACACGCCGGUACCGAGAAGACGUCCGAACUUGAUCAUUUAGAGGAAGUAAAAGUCGUAA
rnacentral:rRNA from 1 species